AUUGAACGCUGGCGGCAGGCCUAACACAUGCAAGUCGAGCGGAGCGGCGGAGGGGGGAGGAAUGCCUAGGAAUCUGCCUGGGAGUGGGGGAUGAGGUCAGGAAACGGGCGCUAAUACUGCAUACUAUCACUUGCGCAUAGGUCGGAUUAGCUAGUUGGUGGGGUAAAGGUCUAACAAGGCGACGAUCCGUAACUGGUCUGAGAGGAUGAUCAGUCACACUGGAACUGAGACACGGUCCAGACUCCUACGGGAGGCAGCAGUGGGGAAUAUUGGACAAUGGGCGAAAGCCUGAUGCAGCCAUGCCGCGUGUGUGAAGAAGGUCUUCGGAUUGUAAAGCACUUUAAGUUGGGAGGCGUUACCAACAGAAUAAGCACCGGCUAACUCCGUGCCAGCAGCCGCGGUAAUAC
rnacentral:rRNA from 1 species